rnacentral:misc_RNA from 1 species
GAGCCUCAGAUCUCUAACAACAGUGAUUCUUCACGAUCUGCGUUAGAAAUCAAAGAUACUCAUCUGAGACAAAGCUGUUCGACUCUGUUUCUGAUUCAGUUUCAGAAUGCUUCCACCACAGCAUUACAGGAGUCCAAUCCCGACAGCCACGCGUACACUGAGAGAGAGAGAGAGGGAGAGAGAUUCCAAAAGUAAAGCAUCAUUGUCAGAACCCAAAAAGUGCACAGUGCAUCAACCUAAUCAGUUAUAAUUGGAAUAGGAAGCCAAAUCCAACAUUAAUAUUCAAGAUAUUGAUCAUUAAAAUUCCAAGUAUGCAAAAAAUAAUCAUAUAACAAAACAAACCAGAAGCCUACUUUAUUAUUCUCAGAUGAGGCAGAAACCCCAGUAAGAUAUAUGUAAAAUGGGAAAUGUACCUGCCAUUAGUAAAGCAAAAUGAUUCAUUAGGCCGACGGAGGAUCUGUAUUCAUAAAAGUGAAUGUUGUACAUCAGUGAGCUCUAACUAAUAGAAUUUGGAAGAAAAUUCCACAAGUAAACAAUUGUAGUAAUACUCAGCAUAUUAAAACUAUUUGAUUUUUCAAAUAACAGUUCCCAGAAUAAAUUCUUAAUUGUAUAUUACAAGAAAUAAUGAAAUAUAAUGGACAAAAACUAAAAUAAAAAAUUGAUCAAUCAUAUGAUAAUAAUUCAAGAAAAGACCUUUUAUAAUUAGCUAAAGUUCAAUAAUAUGAAAGUAUGAUCUCAUAGCUCUUCAAAAACAAAGCUAAAAGGAAAAC